rnacentral:rRNA from 1 species
AUUGAACGCUGGCGGCAGGCCUAACACAUGCAAGUCGAGCGGAGAGGCGGACGGGUGAGUAAUACUAAGGUAUGGGCAACGUAGUGGGGGAUAACGAUCGGAAACGGACGCGAUAACUGAAUCCUAUUACCAUAGCCUAGGUCGGAUUAGCUUGUUGGUGUGGUAAUGGCGAACCAAGGCCACGAUGCGUAACUGGUCUGAGAGGAUGAUCAGUCACACUGGAACUGAGACACGGUCCAGACUCCUACGGGAGGCAGCAGUGGGGAAUAUUGGACAAUGGGCGAAAGCCUGAUGCAGCCAUGCCGCGUGUGUGAAGAAGGUCUUCGGAUUGUAAAGCACUUUAAGUUGGGAGGCGUUACCCGCAGAAGAAGCACCGGCUAACUCUGUGCCAGCAGCCGCGGUAAUUC